UGGGAGCAUCCUGGCGCUGUCCCCUCCUCGUCCUGCUUUUGCUUCCACUGAUUGCAGGCCCUGCCUUGGGCUGGAACAACCCUGACUUAAUUUUGUUGAGGGAUGUGAAAGCUCUUACCCUCCACUAUGACCGAUACACCACUUCCUGCAGGUUGGAUCUAAUCCCACAGUUGAAAUGUGUUGGAGGCACAGCUGGUUGUGAUGCCUCUACACCAGAAGUCAUACAGUGUCAGAACAAAGGAUUGGGUGGUUAUGAUGUACAGUUGGAAUGUAAGACUGAUUUUGAUGCUGCCUAUAAAUUCGGAAAAACUGUGGUGAGCUGUGAAGGCUAUGAAUCCUCUGAAGACCAGUAUGUACUAAGAUGUUCCUGUGGCUUGGAGUAUAAUUUAGAUUAUAUGGAACUUGGCCUAAAUAAAUUUAAAGAGUCUGGAAAACACCACGGCUUUGCUGCUUUCUCUGAUUAUUACAACAAGUGGUACUCCGUAGAUGCCUGCAGCAUAGGCGGCCUGAUUACCAUCGUGGUGCUGCUUGGUAUUGUCUUUGCAGUGUAUAAGUUGUUCCUUAGCAGUGGUCAUUGUUCUCCUCCACCAUACUCUGAGUAUCCUCCAUUUUCCCACCAUUAUCAGAGAUUCACCAACUCAGCAGGACCUCUUCUGCAGGCUUUAAGUCUGAAUUCACAGUACCACAGAAUACUGGCCAUGGUGUGACUUUUGGUUUUGGGUAGUGCUUUCACAGGACAACAAAGACAUGAAAAUUCAGGUCCAGGGUUACAGACUGGUCUGGGAACUGGAGGAAUAUUAGGAUAUUUGUUUGGCAGCAAUAGAGCAGCAAUACCUUUCUUGGACUCAUGUUACUACCCAGCCUGCCCUCCACUCCACUCCAGCACAUGGAAUAGUCGUACUUACUAACCACUUCAUGGAAGCUCAAAUGGCUACUCAGCAGGUGCAAACUCAGAUAUGAAAACCAGAACUACAUCAGGAUGUGGUGGUAGCAGAAGACGCUAAAGAAGAAAAUUGAAGUCAAACAUUGAAUGCAAAAUUUCUGAUCUUUCAUCAUUUUCUCUUUAGAAAAAGUGCUGCCUGCUACCAUCUGGUGAAAGAGGAUCUUCAAAAGUUCUGUGGUGUUUUGCUCCAUAUAGCUUUUUGUAUA